UUGGUGAUGGCAGCCUGGACUGUUGGGUCAGGAAGGAUUCUAGAGUUGAGUCUUGGCUGGAAACAGAAGGGAGCUCCGCUUGAUCAGUGGUGUCUGCCUCGGGAAGAGGAGUACUAGAGGGAGCACUUCGGGAUCAGAAGCAUGUGUGUCUAGCCACUCAGUUGAGUCCGACUCUGUGACCCCGUGGACUGUAGCCCACCAGGCUCCUCUGUCCAAGGACUUCUUCAGGCAAGAAUGCUGGAGUGGAUUGCCAUUUCCUUCUCCAGGGGAUAUUCCUGACUCAAGGGUCAAGCCCACGUCUCCUGUGUCUCCUACAUUGCAGGUGGAAGAACGCUCCAGAGCCAAGCGCAGAGUGCUCCGGGCACCCGAGGAUACAGAGCAAAGAGAAGCCCGGUAUCAGGCGGAUUCUUUACCACUGAGCCACCCGGGAAGCCCAUUGAUUAUUUUUUUAAGAAAAUUGAUCAUCUCUUGAAGUGGGCUCUGUGGAAGCAGAACUUCACAGAGAGCCAGCUGUCAUCAGAGUCUGCGAAAAGUGGCUUAUGGGGACCCUUCCAGCAUCACAAAGCAAAAAGGGGAUGAGAGAAGAAAGAUAAGAAGCAGGCAUGAUGGUGGACACGUGAAGGUGGACUACACCAGCACUGCAUGGGUAGAAGGUCAUCUCCUCUCUCUGACUCUGGACGUAUUGUGGACCAAACCUUGGCAGAAAACACUUAAAGAAAAAUAAAUUCAUGCCUUCAGCAGUUA